UUAGUAUUAAGUUAAAAACUAUUAACCUUCAAAGUUAAAAAAUUAAACUAAU
rnacentral:tRNA from 1 species